CCUACGGGAGGCAGCAGUGAGGAAUAUUGGUCAAUGGGCGAGAGCCUGAACCAGCCAAGUCGCGUGAGGGAGUACUGCCCUAUGGGUUGUAAACCUCUUUUGUCGGGGAGCAAAAGCCGGACGUGUCCGGCUGUGAGAGUACCCGAAGAAAAAGCAUCGGCUAACUCCGUGCCAGCAGCCGCGGUAAUAAGGAGGAUGCGAGCGUUAUCCGGAUUUAUUGGGUUUAAAGGGGUCGCAGGCGGAUUGUUAAGUCAGCGGUAAAAUCGUGGGGUUCAACCCCAUCCAGCCGUUGAAACUGGGGAUCUAGAGUGUGCGAGAGGUAUGCGGAAUGCGUGGUGUAGCGGUGAAAUGCAUAGAUAUCACGCAGAACCCCGAUUGCGAAGGCAGCAUACCGGUGCACAACUGACGCUCAGGCACGAAAGCGUGGGUAUCGAACAGGAUUAGAUACCCGUGUAGUC
rnacentral:rRNA from 1 species